rnacentral:rRNA from 1 species
UCUGAAGCCACCCACAAUUGGGUUGAACUGCCCGGUUCGCAAGCGCUAGUCAUCCUCGGAUGGCAACACCCUCAAACUGACGGGAAACUCCUAAAGUCGUGAACACCAAGCCGGACCCGCGAGAGGCCGGUGGCCAUGUCUAGCAGCAUGGGUAAGGUAACAGAGUCACGGAUGCUACAAUGGAUAAUCCGCAGCCAAGCGACUGCCCUUUCACGGGCAGUUGAAGGUUCAGAGACUAGAUGGGGGUGGGUUGAACAACUUGACCUACCUUGAGACCUUUGUAAGGUAGGUUGAGUUCGGCUUAAGGUAUAGUCCGGCCGGUUCAGAGAAGGACCGGAGCAUAGGCAAACCAGCUUAUAAAUGGGAGCCUGCGGCUUAAUUUGACUCAACACGGGGAAACUCACCAGGUCCAGACACAUUAAGGAUUGACAGAUUGAGAGCUCUUUCUUGAUUAUGUGGGUGGUGGUGCAUGGCCGUUCUUAGUUGGUGGAGUGAUUUGUCUGCUUAAUUGCGAUAACGAACGAGACCUUAACCUGCUAAAUAGCCAGGCUUGCUUUUGCAGGUCGCCGGCUUCUUAGAGGGACUAUCGGCUCAAGCCGAUGGAAGUUUGAGGCAAUAACAGGUCUGUGAUGCCCUUAGAUGUUCUGGGCCGCACGCGCGCUACACUGACAGAGCCAACGAGUAUAAACCUUGGCCGAAAGGUCUGGGUAAUCUUGUUAAACUCUGUCGUGCUGGGGAUAGAGCAUUGCAAUUAUUGCUCUUCAACGAGGAAUAUCUAGUAAGCGCAAGUCAUCAGCUUGCGUUGAUUACGUCCCUGCCCUUUGUACACACCGCCCGUCGCUACUACCGAUUGAAUGGCUCAGUGAGGCCUUCGGACUGGCUCAGGGAGGUCGGCAACGACCACCCAGAGCCGGAAAGUUGGUCAAACUUGGUCAUUUAGAGGAAGUAAAAGUCGUAACAAGGUUUGGAAUAAGAUUCUUCCGUGACGCUUAUGAGAAGCCUCUGCAACCCUCCAAAGGGUGUUUACCGCGACUAUAAACAAGAAUGUAGGCAUGAAACUGCAAGUCAGUCUAUCAAGCUGGCCACACUUUCGAAUUGCGGGAAUCCCCUAAAGCCUGCUGCUACCAAGCCACUGCAGAAAUGCACGGUGGUCUGUGUUAAUCACACAGAGUCAGGUAACAAUGCAGCAGGAUGCGUACAAUGGGUAAUCCGCAGCCAAGCCUCUACAGCCAACUUACGGCCACGAGGAAGGUUCACAGACUAAGUGGAAGUGGGUUGAUCACAGAAUCAGCUUAAGAUAUAGUCGGUCCGAGCGAGAAAUCAUUCGGUUGUCACACAGACAUGUAACAAACGUUCCGUAGGUGAACCUGCGGAAGGAUCAUUACCAAGUUCCAAACUCUUUGGGUCAAACCAAAGUUUUAAACCAAUUGUCUACCACAAACAUUUUGCUUCGGCAGCCGGUUUGGGCGAGAGCCUGAGCCGUAAGCCUGCCGACGGCACCCAUUAAACUAUUUUAAAUCAGUCUGAAAUGGAUUAUCAUUAUGAAUGAAAAUCAAAACUUUCAACAACGGAUCUCUUGGUUCUCGCAUCGAUGAAGAACGCAGCGAAACGCGAUAGUUAAUGUGAAUUGCAGAAUUCAGUGAAUCAUCGAGUCUUUGAACGCACAUUGCGCCCAUUGGUAUUCCGAUGGGCAUGUCUGUUUGAGCGUCAUUACAAACCCUCGGUUGCAGGUCUUGGUGCCCGCGACCGGUCUUGGGUCAUGCUGCAGCCUUAACCGGCCCGGCUGGCUUUAAAUUGGCAGCUCUGCGGUUUACAGCCUAGGAAGAACAUGAUAAAUCUUAUAUUUGUUCUGCUUCGAAAGCUGAAAGUCCGCCUGAACAACAAACCAAAUAUUUUAGUUUGACCUCAGAUCAGAUAAGGAUACCCGCUGAACUUAAGCAUAUCAAUAAGCGGAGGAAAAGAAACCAACCGGGAUUGCCUCAGUAACGGCGAGUGAAGCGGCAACAGCUCAAAUUUGAAAUCUAGAGCCUUCGGCUUUCGAGUUGUAAUUUGAAGAGGAUGUUUCGGUAGCAGCCCCGGCCUAAGUUCCUUGGAACAGGACGUCACAGAGGGUGAGAAUCCCGUGUACGGCUGGCGGCUUGCCUCCAUGUGUAACUCCUUCGAAGAGUCGAGUUGUUUGGGAAUGCAGCUCAAAAUGGGUGGUAAAUUUCAUCUAAAGCUAAAUACUGGCGAGAGACCGAUAGCGCACAAGUAGAGUGAUCGAAAGAUGAAAAGCACUUUGAAAAGAGAGUUAAACAGUACGUGAAAUUGUUGAAAGGGAAGCGCUUGCAAUCAGACUUGCUCGCGGUUGAUCAACGUUCCUUCUGGUUCGUGCACUCUGCCGUUUGCAGGCCAGCAUCGGUUGGGACGGCGGGACAAAGACUGUGGGAAUGUGGCUCUCUUCGGGGAGUGUUAUAGCCCACUGUGCAAUGCCGCCAGCCCCGACCGAGGUCCGCGCUUCUGCUAGGAUGCUGGCUUAAUGGUUGUAAGCGGCCCGUCUUGAAACACGGACCAAGGAGUCUAACAUCUAUGCGAGUGUUUGGGUGUCAAACCCAUGCGCGUAAUGAAAGUGAACGGAGGUGGGAGUCCUCACGGAUGCACCAUCGACCGAUCCUGAUGUUCUCGGAUGGAUUUGAGUAUGAGCAUAGCUGUUGGGACCCGAAAGAUGGUGAACUAUGCCUGAAUAGGGUGAAGCCAGAGGAAACUCUGGUGGAGGCUCGCAGCGGUUCUGACGUGCAAAUCGAUCGUCAAAUUUGGGUAUAGGGGCGAAAGACUAAUCGAACCAUCUAGUAGCUGGUUCCUGCCGAAGUUUCCCUCAGGAUAGCAGUAACGUUUUCAGUUUUAUGAGGUAAAGCGAAUGAUUAGAGGCCUUGGGGUUGAAACAACCUUAACCUAUUCUCAAACUUUAAAUAUGUAAGAAGUCCUUGUUACUUAAUUGAACGUGGACAUUCGAAUGUAUCGUUACUAGUGGGCCAUUUUUGGUAACAGAAACUGG